rnacentral:rRNA from 2 species
GGGUUGUGAGGUUAAGCGACUAAGCGUACACGGUGGAUGCCCUGGCAGUCAGAGGCGAUGAAGGACGUGCUAAUCUGCGAUAAGCGUCGGUAAGGUGAUAUGAACCGUUAUAACCGGCGAUUUCCGAAUGGGGAAACCCAGUGUGAUUCGUCACACUAUCAUUAACUGAAUCCAUAGGU